rnacentral:rRNA from 1 species
AGUCACUGACAUUAGACUACCCCCGUAGUCCAGGGUGUAAACGCUGCAGACUUGGUGUUGGAGGCCCGUUUGGGGGCAUUCAGUGCCGGAGAGAAGUUGUUAAGUCUGCUACAUGGGAGUACGUCCGCAAGGAUAGAAACUUAAAGGAAUUGGCGGGGGAGCACCGCAACGGGAGGAGCGUGCGGUUUAAUUGGAUUCAACACCGUAAACUCACCAGGGAAGACUGUUACAUGAAGGCCGAGAUGAAGACUCUGCUAGAUUUUCAG